AGGAGGAAGACACGGAAGCAGCGCCGUGGGUUGAACCCGCGAGAGUGGAAGAGCUCCGGAGAUCGAUGCACCUUGCGAGAGAAUAAGACCUGCAAGCAAGGCAACUGCAAUGAAGCAUCAAGAAAGACAUGAACAUGCCAGCCACCCUGAGACUGAUAAUUCAUGAGAAGACAUUCUGUCACUAACAAAGUGGAUGGUGAGCAAAGAUGGUUGCCACGUUUUGGAGCAGCACCUGGGUUAUGCAGAUGGCUAUGUAUUUUUGUGAGGAUAAAUCCAGAGGAUACAACAUAAUGCACUGCAAAACGUCCUAAGACAGGAGAAAUGGUGAAGAUGCACUGUUCCAGCAACGGAAGACUGUAUUUUUAAGUGUUAUACAUGCAAUGUUUUAAAUAAAGAAUUUGAUAUUUUGUAAUUAUUGUGUCUGUUUUAAUUGAAUGCCAGUAGUACCUAUGUAGAGUACAAAUAAAAUGAAUUCUAUAUCAAAAUUAUAAAAUCUAAUGAAAUCUAUAUUAAAAUGAAUGAAUUACAGUAGUAUACUGAUUAAUUGGAUUAUUUUUACAGUAAUUUAGUGUAAAACAGUACAGUUUGCAACUGUAAAUCAAAUACAGUUUGCUGCUGUAAAUCGUAAUUACAGUAACUUUA